AUACUCAUUUAUUUUAUUUUUUUUUUUAGUGCAAUAUGCUACAAAAUUACAGUGUCUUGAUCUCCCUGUUCUGUCGGACUCCAGUUGUAAAGCUUCUUAUUCAAACAUGAUCACUUCAAAUAUGUUUUGUGCUGGUUUCCUAGAGGGUGGCAAAGAUGCAUGUUCCGCCGAUUCUGGUGGACCACUGGUCUGCAAUGGAAAGCUGUAUGGAGUGGUCUCCUGGGGUCGAAUGUGUGCACUCCGUAACUAUCCUGGUGUCUACACCAAAGUCUGCAACUAUUUUGACUGGAUUAAGAACAUUAUAGAGCAAAACUGAAGCCAAUUUUACACCGAAACAAACAUACAAUAAAGCAUAGUGAAAGUUCUCAGCA